rnacentral:sRNA from 1 species
UUCACAUUUACGAUUGACAUGCAUGCAAUAGUAAUAAGUAAGAUGUCUUAUUGACUGCUGUUACUAGUUUUUUCUUCUUUCUUUGUGAUCAGAAUAUUCUGGACUUUUCCCUAUAUAUAGUUACCCUAGGUUUGAUAAUACUUGUAACGGGUCUACAAACGUAAUUUAUCUCACCACAGACUCAAACUCGAUCUGGUAGCACCAUAAGAGCACUCCUCUAAUUUGUUCAUAACCAAUUUAGUCGAGUUAAUGGACUAAUAUAAAAUAAAGUUUCUCUUACAACUACUAGUUAGAGAUGUUUUCCUAAUAUUUAGUCUAAUAUUAAGAC